GCAGAAGGGCGAGAGGCCCUCUUGAGGAAUAAUCUGGGUAAUCAUCAGGCUUUGUUAAAUGACUGUCAUCAAAACAUAGGAAGGGCUAGACUUCAAGUUCAUCAACUAGCAGAGCAAACCUCCUAUGUUAUUAGAAAUCAGCGCCGUAUGAAUGAUCAAGAAGUGGCUGAGCAAGAACGGACCAUUGUUCCCCAUUUGCCGAAGGUGUUUCUGAA
rnacentral:misc_RNA from 1 species